GUUGUAUGGUUAAGUGACUAAGCGUACACGGUGGAUGCCUUGGCAGUCAGAGGCGAUGAAAGACGUAGUAACUUGCGAUAAGCCCAGAUUAGGUAGUAACAACCAUUUGAGUCUGGGAUUUCUGAAUGGGGAAACCCACGUGCAUAAGCACGUAUCCUUACCUGAAUACAUAGGGUAAGGAGGCGAACCGGGGGAACUGAAACAUCUAAGUACCCCGAGGAAAAGAAAUCAACCGAGAUUCCGAAAGUAGCGGCGAGCGAAAUUGGACUAGCCCUUAAGCUUUACACGCGUUAGACGAACGGUCUGGAAAGUCCGACGAUACAGGGUGAUAGUCCCGUAGUUGACGACGUGUGUUCAGUGAAAUCGAGUAGGGCGGGACACGUGAUAUCCUGUCUGAAUAUGGGGGGACCAUCCUCCAAGGCUAAAUACUACUGACUGACCGAUAGUGAACCAGUACCGUGAGGGAAAGGCGAAAAGAACCCCUGUGAGGGGAGUGAAAUAGAACCUGAAACCGUGUACGUACAAGCAGUAGGAGCAGGCUUUGUCCUGUGACUGCGUACCUUUUGUAUAAUGGGUCAGCGACUUAUAUUCAGUGGCAAGGUUAACCAUCUAGGGGAGCCGUAGGGAAACCGAGUCUUAACUGGGCGUUCAGUCUCUGGAUAUAGACCCGAAACCAGGUGAUCUAGCCAUGGGCAGGUUGAAGGUUGAGUAACAUCAACUGGAGGACCGAACCGACUAAUGUUGAAAAAUUAGCGGAUGACUUGUGGCUAGGGGUGAAAGGCCAAUCAAACCUGGAGAUAGCUGGUUCUCCCCGAAAGCUAUUUAGGUAGCGCCUCGGACGAAUACUACUGGGGGUAGAGCACUGUUAAGGCUAGGGGGUCAUCCCGACUUACCAACCCUUUGCAAACUCCGAAUACCAGUAAGUACUAUCCGGGAGACACACGGCGGGUGCUAACGUCCGUCGUGGAGAGGGAAACAACCCAGACCGCCAGCUAAGGUCCCAAAUUACUACUAAGUGGGAAACGAUGUGGGAAGGCUCAGACAGCCAGGAUGUUGGCUUAGAAGCAGCCAUCAUUUAAAGAAAGCGUAAUAGCUCACUGGUCGAGUCGGCCUGCGCGGAAGAUGUAACGGGGCUAAGUAGUAAACCGAAGCUGCGGCAAUGUGCUUUUGCACAUUGGGUAGGGGAGCGUUCUGUAAGCGGUUGAAGGUGUGUGGUAACGCAUGCUGGACGUAUCAGAAGUGCGAAUGCUGACAUGAGUAACGAUAAAGGGGGUGAAAAACCUCCUCGCCGGAAGACCAAGGGUUCCUGUCCAACGUUAAUCGGGGCAGGGUAAGUCGACCCCUAAGGCGAGGCCGAAAGGCGUAGUCGAUGGGAAACGGGUUAAUAUUCCCGUACUUCUUACAAUUGCGAUGGGGGGACGGAGAAGGCUAGGUGGGCCUGGCGACGGUUGUCCAGGUUCAAGUGCGUAGGCUUAAGAGUUAGGUAAAUCCGGCUCUUUCUAAGGCUGAGACACGACGUCGAGCACCUACGGGUGUGAAGUCAUUGAUGCCAUGCUUCCAGGAAAAGCCUCUAAGCUUCAGAUUGUAAGGAAUCGUACCCCAAACCGACACAGGUGGUCGGGUAGAGAAUACCAAGGCGCUUGAGAGAACUCGGGUGAAGGAACUAGGCAAAAUGGUACCGUAACUUCGGGAGAAGGUACGCUCUUGAUGGUGAAGUCCCUCGCGGAUGGAGCUGACGAGAGUCGCAGAUACCAGGUGGCUGCAACUGUUUAUUAAAAACACAGCACUGUGCAAAAUCGUAAGAUGACGUAUACGGUGUGACGCCUGCCCGGUGCCGGAAGGUUAAUUGAUGGGGUUAGACUUCGGUCGAAGCUCUUGAUCGAAGCCCCGGUAAACGGCGGCCGUAACUAUAACGGUCCUAAGGUAGCGAAAUUCCUUGUCGGGUAAGUUCCGACCUGCACGAAUGGCGUAAUGAUGGCCACGCUGUCUCCACCCGAGACUCAGUGAAAUUGAAAUCGCUGUGAAGAUGCAGUGUACCCGCGGCUAGACGGAAAGACCCCGUGAACCUUUACUACAGCUUGGCACUGAACAUUGACCCUACAUGUGUAGGAUAGGUGGGAGGCUUUGAAGCACGUACGCCAGUAUGUGUGGAGCCGUCCUUGAAAUACCACCCUUGUAGUGUU
rnacentral:rRNA from 1 species